UUUGUAUGCCAAGGAAAUAAUCCAAGAAGCUGGACUAUUUGAAGAAGAACAAGAUUUCAGCAUUUGAAGAAGACUCACUAACAACCUGAGUUAUGCAGA
rnacentral:snoRNA from 1 species